UACAGAGGGUGCAAGCGUUAAUCGGAAUUACUGGCGUAAAGCGUGCGUAGACGGUUACAUAAGUCGGGUGUGAAAGCCCCGGGCUCAACCUGGGAAUUGCAUUCGAGACUGCGUAGCUAGGGUGCGGAAGAGGGAAGCGGAAUUUCCGGUGUAGCGGUGAAAUGCGUAGAUAUCGGAAGGAACACCAGUGGCGAAAGCGGCUUCCUGGUC
rnacentral:rRNA from 1 species